UAUAUAUGGUCCCUGCAUAUAUGCAUAUACAGUACAUAUAGGCUCCCUGCAUAUAUGUAUAGAGAGUAUAUAUCGGCCACCUGCAUAUAUGUAUAUAUAGGUUCCCUGCAUAUAUGUAUAUACAGUACAUAUAGGCUCCCUGCAUAUAUGUAUAUACAGUACAUAUAGGCUCCCUGCAUAUAUGUAUAUACAGUACAUAUAGGCUCCCUGCAUAUAUGUAUAGAGAGUAUAUAUCGGCCACCUGCAUAUAUGUAUAUAUAGGCUCCCUGCAUAUAUGUAUAUAUAGGCUCCCUGCAUAUAUGUAUAUACAGUAUAUAGGCUCCCUGCAUAUAUGUAUAUACAGUAUAUAUAGGCUCCCUGCAUAUAUGUAUAUAUAAUAUAUAGGCUCCCUGCAUAUAUGUAUAUAUAGUAUAUAUAGGCUCCCUGCAUAUAUGUAUAUACAGUAUAUAGGCUCCCUGCAUAUAUGUAUAUACAGUAUAUAUAGGCUCCCUGCAUUUGUGUUAUGUAUUGUGUGUACAGAUAUGUACAUAUGUUUUAAUGUUUUUCUAUAACGGAGACAAGUGUAAAAGCUUGUUCAGCGUGUGUAUUUUACUCAUCAGGCGUUUUCUCGGUCAACGACCAAAUUGAUAUUUCAAAAGCUGGUCACACAAUUUCAAGACUGCAUUUGACCUUUUACCAAACAAACCAUGAAUCAUCUUGGAGUGUCUGCUGCGCUCUGUGAGGUCAUUAUCGCGGGGUUAAUAUGGGACUGCGUCUUGGGUCGAUGGGGAUUGCAAAGUGCCAAUUAUCACGGAACAUAUAACACUUCAUCCAAUUAGUCUUUUUUCCUGCAAUAGUUAACGUUAUAUUUGUAUUGCUGAUGAGAACUCCCCAAGUCUCAAUCUAUCUUGAAUACAAUUACAUUUCAAAGUUUGGGUAGAGGUUCGGAUGGAGCCGCAGUAAAGAG
ensembl:lncRNA